rnacentral:rRNA from 1 species
AUUGAACGCUGGCGGCGUGCCUAACACAUGCAAGUCGAGCGGUAACAGGUGUAGCAAUACAUGCUGACGAGCGGCGAACGGGUGAGUAAUGCUUCGGAAUCUGCCCAUGUAGUGGGGAAUAACCAGCCGAAAGGUUGGCUAAUACCGCAUACGACCUACGGGUGAAAGCAGGGGAUCGCAAGACCUUGCGCUAUUGGAUGAGCCGAAGUCGGAUUAG